rnacentral:tRNA from 1 species
UUAGCUCAGUUGGUCAGAGCUUGGAGCUGUUAACACCAGGGGCAUGGGUUUGAUCCCCGUA